rnacentral:rRNA from 1 species
AUUGAACGCUGGCGGCAUGCUUUACACAUGCAAGUCGAACGGCAGCGCGGGCUUCGGCCUGGCGGCGAGUGGCGAACGGGUGAGUAAUGCAUCGGAACGUGCCCAGCAGUGGGGAUAGCCCGGCGAAAGCCGGAUUAAUACCGCAUACGACCUGAGGGUGAAAGCGGGGGACCGAAAGGCCUCGCGCUAUUGGCGCGGCCGAUGUCGGAUUAGCUAGUUGGUGGGGUAAAGGCUUACCAAGGCGACGAUCCGUAGCUGGUCUGAGAGGACGACCAGCCACACUGGGACUGAGACACGGCCCAGACUCCUACGGGAGGCAGCAGUGGGGAAUUUUGGACAAUGGGGGCAACCCUGAUCCAGCCAUGCCGCGUGCGGGAAGAAGGCCUUCGGGUUGUAAACCGCUUUUGUUCGGGAAGAAAUCCUCUGGGCUAAUACCCCGGGGGGAUGACGGUACCGGAAGAAUAAGCACCGGCUAACUACGUG